rnacentral:rRNA from 1 species
UACGUCGGGUGCGAGCGUUAAUCGGAAUUACUGGGCGUAAAGCGUGCGCAGGCGGUUUUGUAAGCCAGAUGUGAAAUCCCCGGGCUCAACCUGGGAAUGGCAUUUGGGACUGCAAGGCUGGAGUGUGGCAGAGGAGACUGGAAUUCCUGGUGUAGCAGUGAAAUGCGUAGAUAUCAGGAGGAAUACCGAUGGCGAAGGCAGGUCUCUGGGCUGACACUGACGCUCAUGCACGAAAGCGUGGGGAGCAAACAGG